rnacentral:rRNA from 1 species
GAGUUUGAACCUGGCUCAGGACGAACGCUGGCGGCGUGCCUAAUACAUGCAAGUCGAGCGAGCUUGCCUAGAUGAUUUUAGUGCUUGCACUAAAUGAAACUAGAUACAAGCGAGCGGCGGACGGGUGAGUAACACGUGGGUAACCUGCCCAAGAGACUGGGAUAACACCUGGAAACAGAUGCUAAUACCGGAUAACAACACUAGACGCAUGUCUAGAGUUUGAAAGAUGGUUCUGCUAUCACUCUUGGAUGGACCUGCGGUGCAUUAGCUAGUUGGUAAGGUAACGGCUUACCAAGGCAAUGAUGCAUAGCCGAGUUGAGAGACUGAUCGGCCACAUUGGGACUGAGACACGGCCCAAACUCCUACGGGAGGCAGCAGUAGGGAAUCUUCCACAAUGGACGAAAGUCUGAUGGAGCAACGCCGCGUGAGUGAAGAAGGGUUUCGGCUCGUAAAGCUCUGUUGGUAGUGAAGAAAGAUAGAGGUAGUAACUGGCCUUUAUUUGACGGCAAUUACUUAGAAAGUCACGGCUAACUACGUGCCAGCAGCCGCGGUAAUACGUAGGUGGCAAGCGUUGUCCGGAUUUAUUGGGCGUAAAGCGAGUGCAGGCGGUUCAAUAAGUCUGAUGUGAAAGCCUUCGGCUCAACCGGAGAAUUGCAUCAGAAACUGUUGAACUUGAGUGCAGAAGAGGAGAGUGGAACUCCAUGUGUAGCGGUGGAAUGCGUAGAUAUAUGGAAGAAC